ACCCCCCCGCUAGGCGGGGGGUUCCGUAAAGCUUAAAGCUUUAAGCACGUCAGCAAAACUCCUUUUGAUUUGUUACAACAACUUGCGGUCUGGCAACUGCAAAAGAAACAAAUCAAAAG
rnacentral:sRNA from 1 species